AGAGUUUGAUCCUGGCUCAGAACGAACGCUGGCGGCAGGCUUAACACAUGCAAGUCGAACGCAUCCUUCGGGGUGAGUGGCAGACGGGUGAGUAACGCGUGGGAACGUGCCCUUCAGUUCGGAAUAACCCAGGGAAACUUGGGCUAAUACCGGAUACGUGCGAGAGCAGAAAGAUUUAUCGCUGAAGGAUCGGCCCGCGUCUGAUUAGCUAGUUGGUAGGGUAAUGGCCUACCAAGGCGACGAUCAGUAGCUGGUCUGAGAGGAUGAUCAGCCACAUUGGGACUGAGACACGGCCCAAACUCCUACGGGAGGCAGCAGUGGGGAAUAUUGGACAAUGGGCGCAAGCCUGAUCCAGCCAUGCCGCGUGAGUGAUGAAGGCCUUAGGGUUGUAAAGCUCUUUCGGCGGGGACGAUAAUGACGGUACCCGCAGAAGAAGCCCCGGCUACUUCGUGCCAGCAGCCGCGGUAAUACGAAGGGGGCUAGCGUUGUUCGGAAUCACUGGGCGUAAAGGGCGCGUAGGCGGCUUGAUAAGUCGGGGGUGAAAGCCUGUGGCUCAACCACAGAAUUGCCUUCGAUACUGUCUGGCUUGAGACCGGAAGAGGUAAGUGGAACUGCGAGUGUAGAGGUGAAAUUCGUAGAUAUUCGCAAGAACACCAGUGGCGAAGGCGGCUUACUGGUCCGGUUCUGNNNNUGANNNNCGAAAGCGUGGGGAGCAAACAGGAUUAGAUACCCUAGUAGUCC
rnacentral:rRNA from 1 species